rnacentral:rRNA from 1 species
CCCCUUCGGGGGGUACACGAGUGGCGCACGGGUGAGUAACACGUGGGUAAUCUACCUUCAGGUCUGGGACAACUCCGGGAAACUGGAGCUAAUACCGGAUGAGACCACGAGGUCCUCGGACUUCGCGGGAAAAGAUGGCCUCUCCUUGGAAGCUAUCGCCUGUAGAUGAGCCCGCGCCCCAUUAGCUAGUUGGUGAGGUAACGGCUCACCAAGGCGACGAUGGGUAGCUGGUCUGAGAGGACGACCAGCCACACUGGAACUGAGACACGGUCCAGACUCCUACGGGAGGCAGCAGUCGGGAAUUUUGGGCAAUGGGCGAAAGCCUGACCCAGCAACGCCGCGUGAGGGAUGAAGGCCUUCGGGUCGUAAACCUCUGUCGGGAGGGAAGAACGAUCGCAAGGUGAAUAAUCUUGGGGUCUGACGGUACCUCCAAAGGAAGCGCCGGCUAACUCCGUGCCAGCAGCCGCGGUAAUACGGAGGGCGCAAGCGUUGUUCGGAAUCAUUGGGCGUAAAGCGCGUGUAGGCGGCUUGGCAAGUCGGGUGUGAAAUCCCGGGGCUCAACCCCGGAACUGCAUUCGAUACUGCCUCGCUAGAGUCCCGGAGAGGAGGGCGGAAUUCCCGGUGUAGAGGUGAAAUUCGUAGAUAUCGGGAGGAACACCAGUGGCGAAGGCGGCCCUCUGGACGGUGACUGACGCUGAGAUGCGAAAGCGUG